AAGACUUAGUGGCGGACGGGUGAGUAAUGCAUGAGCAACCUGCCUUCAGGAGGGGGAUAACAUCGGGAAACCGGUGCUAAUACCGCAUAGAGCAUUUUGCAGGCAUCUGCGAGAUGGGAAAGGAGCAAUCCGCCUGGAGAUGGGCUCAUGUCUGAUUAGAUAGUUGGUGAGGUAACGGCUCACCAAGUCGACGAUCGGUAGCCGGACUGAGAGGUUGAACGGCCACAUUGGGACUGAGACACGGCCCAGACUCC
rnacentral:rRNA from 1 species